rnacentral:lncRNA from 1 species
AAAAAAAAAAAAAAAGGAAAGUAUGAGAAAUACAUCGUAUUGUCAGGAAAAGCAUUUUUCAUGCUCUUUUAUUGUAAUGAGCGUGCAAGAAGCUACACUAUACCUGAUUAUCCAACAUUCUCGAGAAAUCCUUGAGAACAUGUCGGCGAUCUUGUGUCCCAACUUCCAUUUGUUGAGCAUACUGUUUGACUCGCUUCUUCAUUAAUUUGUAGUUUAGGUAAAAUCUGCAAAGAAUUAAAAUUCAACCACACGAUAAAAUACAAUCUCCCUGCUAAUAACAUGAUAAAAAAGCAUAGUUUUAACAUAGAAGAAAACUAAGAACACAUAAUACGUAGGAAGCAGUUUAACAACAACAUACACAAGAAUAAGAAAAGAUCAAACAUACCCUUGCCAUUCUUGAAUUUGUCUUUCCUUCAACUUCUUCCCAAAGGCAACCAUCUUUUAACUACACAUUAAUGAAGUAAAAUCAGAAUAUACCGUAAUAUCGUAAGAACUGAUAGUGCUUGCGGAUCCAACAAAGUCGCCAAGAAAGCAUACUCGAACUAAAUUAUAAAUUUUCAACCAAAUUCCCCCAUACAUGUAAACAUAAGCUAAAUACAAAGAUGCUGCCACAAUUUUGUUUGUCCAAAAACAGGUGAAAAACCAGAACAGUAUAUGUACCAUGGACCAUAACUUUUCCAGACUAUUCCAAAAUCAUGUGCAACAUAAAUACGCCAUUGCCUCGUUAGAGAAAAAAGGUUGGGACCAAUAGCUUAAGCAGCAGAAUCACGAAACUAUCAUUUUAAUAUGAAUUAAUUUUCUUAAACUUAAUGUCUCACUUCUGAUAUUAGUAAUUGAUAAAUAGAAGGAGCUCGAUACCCUUUUAAGUAAAGUCUCGAGUUUAAGUCGGCUCUAGUAGAGUUUGCUUCCUAAAUGAAAUCCGACCCGACUCGAUUCUGGAUUUAGUCAUCUAAAGUUGAUAAACAGAAGUAACUAUAUAUCAUCCAAUCAAACUAUCACUGUGUCAAAGGCAAAUAUGGCAAGCCAUCCUAAUUGACUUAGUCAGCUAAAUUACGUGUUGUGAUUGUGGUUCUUACUUAUUAGUGACUAAAAAACAAAAAGCUGAGUGCAUCAUGUAAACGUAACUUUAUCAUCACUGAGUAAAAACAGUGAGUUUUCAAUAAUUUUAACAGCUAGCAAAUCAUUCACUGGAAAAUUUACAAAAGCUGGUAAAUAUUACAGAGACUUUUUAAUGAUGCUCUGUUUGGCUACCGAGAAAAUUCGAGAAAAAAAACUGAAACUCAGAAAAGUUGAGAACUUUAAACUAAUAAAACGAUGGCUAACAGAUCGAAAUAGAAGAAAAAAAAUGGGCAUUGAUUGUUUUCUCAGCAACUAAAAACAGAUCCAACAGCAAAACAAAUAAAAAAACAAUACAACGAAAUGAACUUACCUAAUGAAACAAGUACAAGUUGCUCUCUUCUUAUUUAGUUCGAAAUGAAUUUAGAUGACCAUCAACGAACAAAAAUUAUUAAAAUACGAAGAAGAAGAAGAAGAAGCAAUGAAAAGCAAGAGAAGUACAAAAAAAGGAGCUUUUUUUAUAUAUGAAACUCUUUGAAUUGGAAUCUGAGUUUGGGUAAUUGAAGGAAAAUAGAUUUGUAGAGAAAGAUACGUUUUUUUUUAAAGAAAAAAAUGGGCUUUUCAGUGAUUUACUUUUCCUUUGAGAUAAUUGACGAAAGGUGGAACGAAAAAUGGAAAAUUCUCAGCCAGCAAUUAUUAUUUAUCAAAUUGUUAGGAGGGAGAGAGAGAGAGAGAGAGAGAGAGAGAGAGAUGGGAAGUUGUAUUCUAGUUUUAUUUGCAUUCCUAUUACCGCUUGAUUUUAAAGGGUAAAUUACCUCAAGGUCACAAAUUUAUUAGUAUAUUUAUAUUUUAGUCAUUCAACUUAAAAAAGUUACAAAAUGAUCAUUAAACUAUUUGAAAAUUUUUAUUUAAAUCACUAGACUAUUAAAAUUAUUGUUGUAUAGCCUUUGUUGUUUAAAUAUAUGUACUAAUCGAAAGCUCUUCUUUCCCUUUUCUUCUACAAUUUAGUUUUUUUUUUUUGCAUGAAACAUUUUUUAAAAUCAUAAAUUUGCAAACCAAAAUCCAAACAACUAUGUUCUUUGAUCUUCGACACUAACCUUCAGAUCGACUUAAAUUUAAGUUAUGUUCUACUCGAUGGGUAUUGAUCCACCGCAAUGAUCGUUGAACUGUCACUUGGAUCUUGCUAGUCAAGUUUUUUUAGAAAAAACUUAAUAGCUCAAUGACUUAAAUGAUUUUUUUGUAUAACUCAAUGACAUAAAUGAAAACUUUCAAACAGUUUAAUGACAAUUUUGUUACUUUUUUUAAGUUAAACGAUCAAAAUGUAAACUUCUUAAUAGUUUAGAGACAUUAGGUGUAGUUUACCCAUUUUUAAAAGAAUCUAAUUUUAGUUUAACAUCUUAUUUUUUAUAUUUUAAUUUGGUAUAAUUUUAUUUAUAUUUUAUAAUAUUAUUAGUUGGUUGAAAUUUAGAAAUUAGUUUAUAUUUUUUUUAUUUUCAAGAAUUUAGUCCCUCUAUUUUUUAGAUUUCAAAAUUCACGCCCAAUUGUUAAAACUGUUAAAUUUUUUUGUUAAACAUUUUAGCCUGACACUUUUAAAUAAAAAAAUAACGUUGUAAUAAACUUGAAUUUAACAAAAUAAUUUUAAUAGUGUUAAUAGUUGGAUCUACAUUUUGAAAUCUAAAAUGUUGAGGGACUAAAUUAUUAGAAAUAAAAAUACAAUGACCAUAUUUCAAAUUUACAAAAAUUACAAGGACUUGUAACGUGUUUUAACCUAAUAAAUUUACAUGUUAUCCAAAUAAAUAAGUUCUUUUUUUUGGGGGGGAAUCAAUGUCACUACUUUGUAAUAGAGAAUUAAAUUAUAUUGAAUUACAAUGGAAUAAUUAAAUUUCAAAUAUUAACAUAAUAGAAGGACUAGAACCAAAUUAUGCCUUUUAAAAUGAAUUCACAUCGGUCUAAUUAUGCUCUCACUCCUAAUACUCCUUAGAAUUUUGGAAUUUAAUCUCUUUAUUUUUUUACUUUUAAAUAUACCUCUAAAAAGUUUCAUUGAUUAGCAAAUAGCAGCAAUGUCGUACAGAAUCAGUUCAUGCAAGUUAUUUUGGUAAUCCAACUCAUUCACAAGCAGAUUGACCCUACUAACUCCUUUAAUUUAUUUACUUUUUAUUCUAAUAAUUUAGUCCUUAUUAAUAUAUUAAUUGACUUCUAUUAAUUUUAAAUGUGUUAUUAAUAAAUAUUUAAUUUUUAAACUAAAUCUUUGAAUAUCAAUAUGUUAGAUAUUCAAAUUUAAUGAUCUAAUUAUAUUUUAACUUAUAAAUCAAACAAGUAGAGAAAUUAAAUUAUUGAAAUUAAAACUAGAGUGACUAAAUUUAAAAAAUCCAAAAAUAUAAGAUACCAGAAACGUAAUUGUAUCAGAGAUUGAGUAGACAACAUGGACACCCAAAUGACUUUGCUUAGGGUACGCAAUAGAAAGAAAGUGACGCAAAUGAUUUUCUAAUUAAAUGUUUUAAUUUAAUAACUUAAUUAAUACAAUAAAUAUUUUGUUUAAAAGUUAAUCAAUGUGUUAUGUGUUAUGUCAUAUUAAAAGGGAUUGAUAACGAUCUAAUAGUUAAAUUGAUCGAUUUAAUAGCACUUAUUAUAGAUGUAAAUUUUCAAGCAGAUCCGAUAUAUUUAUUAUAUUAAUUUAAAAUAGUAUAUAUAUCAAUAUUUAUUGAAUAAUUAUGUCAAAUUGAUGUAUUUAUAUAAAUAAAAUAUGACAGUUGAAUUAUUAAAAUAUUAAUAAUAUAAAAAUAACACCAAUGUCAUUUUUUUUUUAAUUUUAUAGCUUAAAUAAAAAUAUAGUUUUUAAAAUAAAUAAUUAUUGAAGCACACAUCAAAGAGUAGAAUAAAAUUAUAAAUACAAAAAAGAAUUUCUUAUUUUUAUUUUAUAAUACUAAAUAGAAAAAUUGAAAUACUUGAAAGAUGUUUUAUAAUAUCUUAGUGGGCUAUAAUCAUACAUGAUUUGAGCCAUACAUUUUGGAGCACACAUGCGAAUCUAUUUCCUUUGACUCUUUAAGCACCUUAUAUUAUAAAGUUGACUUUUUAUUAAAGACUUAAAGAAGAAAAAUAUGAUUUUCAAUUGAAUUGAUUGAUUAAAUUUAAAAAAUUUAGUGUUUAUUUUUUUAGAUUUUAAAUUUUAAAUUAAACAGUUGAUAAUUUUUAAAUUAUUUUAUUAAAUUUAAGUUCAUUACAACGGAAUCUUUUAGUUACAUUACUUUGGACUAUUUAUGAUGGGCUUUGUCUGGCGUGGGAUAAUAGUUUGGCUAAUAUUAUGAUUGAAAUUAAUUGUGCACAAGUUAUGGAAGUCAUCUUAGAUAGGUCCUAUGGGCAAUUGUAUAGGGACCUAAUUUCGAGAAUUCAGGAACUUUGUAGAAAACAGUGGAGGGUAAUUAUUAAGAAGAUUCCAACAGAAGUUAAUGUAACUGCACACUUGUUGGCUGGGAAGAUAAAAGCGUUUCCUUAUGCUCCAAUAGUUUUCCAGGAACCUCCGGAAGUGAUUGUUGAUCAAUUAUGAUUUGAUAGUAGGUUUAUGAAUGAUGAUAUUGAAAUAAUACUGUAAUUAUUUUGAGACAUUAUUUACAAAAAAAAAAUGUCACAUCAACUAAUUUAACUGUGCUAACAAUUAAACUUGAUUUUGAAAUAUAAAAGCAGGCAGAUUAAAUUUUAAAUUUAUGAAAAAUAAUAGAUUUAUAACAUAUUUAAGAAAAAUAGCUUAAAAAUAAUUAUAUCAAGAGAAAUACUGAAAACUACUAGCAUUAACAUUAGCCAUUGACACAAUCCCAUAUAGAUGAUGAAAAAAAAAAACUGAACUUUCAUGAUUGGAUAGGUGACUAAGGGUGGUUCAUUCUAGAACUUACCCGGAUUCAAAUAUCCGAUGUAAGCCUUUAUUUAGACAACUCUUUAAUUCUACAUAAAAAAAAAAUAAAACGUCGAAAUUUUAUAAUAACAAGUAACUCUAUUCUAUUAUUUAUACAUGUUGUCAGUUUAUACUUACUUUUUAUUAAUUUUAUUUUUCAAUAUAUAGUAACUUUUUACAAUUUAAUAUCUUUUAUAUUUUUUUAAUUCUUCUAUAAUUUAGGAAAAUUCUAUAAAAUAAAAAAUUCUGAAUUUUAUGCGUGUGUGAAAUUUUGUACAUAUUUUUUUUAUUUACUUGUUAUUGUCAUAUCAUUAUUUUUAACAUAAAUUUAGUAAUGAGUGGAUUAAGAUUUACAAACCUAUAAAAAUGAAGUGAUUAAAUUCACUAAUGAUUGGAUUAAGAUAUACAAAGCUAUAAAAAUGCAUUGACUAAAUUUACUAAAGAAAAAGUAAAGGAUAUGAAUUAAUUUGGGAAAUGUGGACCAAAAAUGUGGCAAACUGGAUAAAUUACAAAGAAUGAUUACAAAUUUUUAAAAGAAAAAGAAAAAAAAGGGGCAAUAUGUGAAAGUGGGGCUGUCCUGUUUGGAUUUGGAAAGAAAUUAGUGCAACUUUAUAUGGGUUGAUUGAAACUUGAAGUGACACAAGUGGUGUUCAUUUAGUGCCUAAUUGAUUUUUUGGCAGAUUGUGUCCAUAUGUCUCCUAUAUUAAUUUUUUAUAAAAAUAUAAAAAUGUGUUAGAAAAAAAAAAUCAUAUGCUUAUACUUAUAUUUAUUUGUUUUUAAAAAAUUAAAAAUUUUAAAGAUAAAUAAAUAAAAUUUAAAUAUUAACGGAGCGAGAUGGGAUAGAGAUGAAUGUAUUUAACAUUCAUAGAAAAGAUAAUAAUUUUUAAAAUUAUUUAUCUAUAGUGGAGCAGAAUAAGUAUUGAAAUAAAACGUGCUAAUUGUACAAUAAUAGUGGAUUUAACAAUAGUUGCCUCAUCUCACUUCUUUGCUAUCUCUAGUCUUGACACUAUUGACAAAAGCUAAGGUCUUAAAUUUUACAAUGUCGAGUUUUGAGUCCUACUAUCUUUAAUUGUAAUAUGUAGGUCUCCUUUCGACUAUUUACAUAUAACUUAUGUGAGUUUUGUUAAUUUUUUAUUAUGCAUUAUCUUAAUUGAUUAUAUAUUAUUAUUGAUAGUUAUAUCAGUAAAACUUUUUAAAAUAAAUCAAAAUGUAAUCAAAAAAAUUCAUUUUAAUUUAUAUUAAUUAAAUUUAAAUUCUGGAAUUCCUUAUGACUCAAACUGAUUCAUUGUGUCCAAAUCAAACAAGAAACAUAGACAAGCAUUGAGUUGGAAUCCACGAGUGAAUGGGAAGACCAAAAGAGAAGUGAAAUAUGGGCGCACAUGAUUAGCAAAUGCAAUCUUUCAAACCAACAAUAUAUUUUAAAGCUGAAAGUUAUGGGUUUUCUAUUUACCCACUUUCUCUUUUUUUGACAUAAACCUACUAUAAUUUUCAAGGCAUAGACCUACUUGUUAUUAAUAUAUCAGUAAGAGUAUUAUUUUGGUGGAUAAAUUUUCUAUAGAGUUUAUUAAUAUCAGUAUUCAUUAAUUUUCUUCGAUCUAUCUGAAUGAUGGGUCUUAACUCGGGAGAAAGAACUGUUAAUAUACAUAAAACCAUCCAUUUUAGUUCUAUAUUUGUUCGAAUAAAAUGCUUGGCCAAUUUUAUGUGCCUCAACUCGUGAGGCCUUCUUCUCUUAAGCGAUAAGAAUUCACAAAUCUAGAUCAAUGUAUUUUUAAAUUUCUUAAAACGAAAAUUGAAGUGAUAAUGUAUCAUAAUUUCAUCAUCAUAUAUUAAUAAAAUUCAAGUUCAAGAAUCAAAUUGAAAAAAAGUUGUCAAAUUUUAAGAUUGAAAUGGACAAAAAGAAUUUAGAGACCAAGAUGGUAAAGUUAUCAGUUUUAAGGACUAAAUGUUAAUUUUAUCUAUUUUGAUAUUGGUAUGUAUCAGUUUUUACUUUUAAUAAAAUAUUAUAUUAUUUGUACAUGUAAAUAUAACUCCAUAAUACACAUAAAAAUAUAUUUAUAUAAUAAUUAAAAAAUUGUUCAAAAUAUCAAAAUUAUUUACAAAGCAUAAAUUAUUUGAUACCGAAACGGUAUUUAAUGACACACCGUGAAUCUCGGCCAAGAUUCUUGACCAAGUUACGAAGGUUGCCGCCGUUUGGCAGUUAUAGGCUUUAACCGCCUUAACCUAUGAAGUUAAAUUCAACAAACCAAAUGACUUGAUGUAUGCCUCCCUCCAUGCACAUCUAAAGGGAACAAGUUAAAUCAUGGUUGACCUCCUGUACCUGUAAUUACACAAGUCCAUAUGUGGGUUUGAUGUGAUUUUGAGUAUUAUCCAAGUGGGAUUAAUAUGAUUUAACGUAUAAUCCACACGUUUAACAUACAUGAGACAAGUGUUGAAAGAUGGAACCUGGGUAUGAUGAUCAUACAAUGUCAAGUGAAACAAUUCCUUUGAGCAAGGGAACCCUUUGAUUACAAAUAGGACGAGUUCCACGUUACGUUUUCUGGUCAAGGUGGUUAAGUGAGCUGGUCACAUAUAAUAACAGGUAUAUACAUACACAAACAUAUUGCGUGCGUAUAUAUAUGUGUAUAUAUAAGCUAUAGAACAUAUUGUGUGUAUAUAGCUAUAGAACUUCCUUUCCAUCUAUGCAUCCACCCUUUACAUUGUAAUUAGAGUAAACUAUCUAAACAAUAAUCGAACAAAAUUCUUUUCAGUAGAAUGCCUUCAACUUCUAGCUUUGAAAUGGCACCCAACAGAUCUAAAAAAAAAAAACCAGAAGAAAACACUUCUUUGGGAUUUUGCAGAUAAAUGAACACUGUAAUCUCUGUUUAUGGUGCAACUGCUGUGAGAAUAUAUAAUAAUCUCUUUUAGUCCGGACUAUGAAAUAGGCCCCAUUGCUUUUUUUGGGGCCACCAGAACACAGCUGGUCUAGUCCCUAAGAAGCCGACCCUGGCAAAAUGUAAAGGAGUAAUAUUCCAGGAAAAUUACACUCAUUCAAGUUUACAUUAUAUUUUCUGGGGCUCAAAAUAAUGGAUUUCACAUACAGUUACGAGGCUGGUGCAUACUCUUGGAUUGCUGUUACCAGUUUGUUUCGGUCAUCCUCUGUUUUUGUUCUAAUUAAGAAGGUACGUGCCACUAUCUCUUGGUUAUCGCCACCUUCAUCCUACAAAAUCCAAGACAUGUCACUCAAAUACUCGAAACAAGGUCCACUCAAAUACUCGAAACAAGGUCAAAUUCUGCAAGGAAGGUUAAAACAUAUUACCGAGGUAUGAAAUAUUGCAACAAGGGAAUUCUUUUGUGCACUUGUUUUGAUCCCAGGAUAUAGCAAUGCAUUUAGCAACACCUUCCCCACCUGCAACGAAUAGAUUGUUAUAGUCUUGUAGAAGUGAACUUGUCUUUUUGUAACUGAUAAAUGUGUAUAAAGGAACAUACCUCAUUUCGAACAACGAUUGUUGGUUUGGAAUCUUUCGAACCCUUGCUGAUACCCUCUUUGCAUUUAAUGGAAAGUUGCCCAGUGCCUUUAUCUUUCCAUGAAUCUUUAUCUGCUGGAUCAGUUGACUGGUAUGACACAAGAGGGAAGGUCAGAACCCAAAACACCAUGUUACAAGUCAAGAGUAGGCAAACACGAAAAAUCACUACUGAACACAAGUUUUCAGAAGAUACACCUUGACAUAAAGCUUGCAUUUGACUUCAUGAACAACAACAAUACCCUUCUCUUCCGACUUCUUCACUGAUGGACUGCUUGGCUGUGGCAACUCAUUUUCUGACAAUCCAACGUGACACUUAUUAAUAUGCACAUAGUGAGACAGGAACGAAAUUAAAAGUUGAGGUGGAGAGGCAAAGGGUUAACCUAUUGAGUUAAAACUAAUAAAACGAAGUAACCUAGAAAAGAAAAAAUUACAUGACAAGGCUUAAUUUAAUGAAGGAAUGCCUUAAGACUUAAGCAAUAUCCAGUAAAUAAGGACCAGAAGAUUAAGUUUGAUUGUCCCACCAUCAUCUGCAUCAUCUGCUGCAUUGUUGUCCACUGAAACUGAGCUCUGAGUUCCUGAAAUAACAAAAUAGGAUGUAAAAUACGCAGUUGUCUUAAAAUCUUCAAGCUAACAAUGUUGAGUUUUAAUCCUUGUAUAGUACUUGUAGCAAAAAGCAAUGAAACACCUACCAAACAAGAAAGGGCUCUGACUAUUAGAGAAUGCUCCAGUGCUCCAAGGAGAUGCAAAGCUUGAGGUCAUGUUAGAUGAAGAAAAGCUAUUUGUUGCACUGGAGGAAGUAAAAUUUGCGGUUGAAAGGCCAAAUGAAAAGCUUGAGUUUGAACCAGCUGCGAUUGAGCUUGUUGUCAGACCAACUGGAGUGAAGCUUGUAGUUGAACUAACUGAGGUAAAGCUAGUAGUAGUACCCAAUGGAGGAAAUUUUUUAGUCAUAUCAGCUGGAGUCAAGCGUGUAGUUGUAGUGUUUAGAGAAAACAUCCCAGCUGUGGUGCCUGGAGAAAAACUCAGAGUUGUAGAGCCUGGAAUAAGGCUUGUAGUUGUGCUGGUUGGAGUGAAUCCAAUUUUCCCUUGAAAAAACUUAUUCUCAGUAUUCUUGGUUUCAGGAACCAUUUUGCUUUCAUUUUUAUGGGAUUCAGCAGCAGACAAACUGUCACCAUUAGCCGCAUUCGCUUUGAGCCAAUUGACAACAUCACUGAACUUUUCCUGCAAACAAGGAAAUGGAGUACCUCUCAAGUUAGCAAACAAAAGCAAUAAUGCCUUAAAUAUAUGAGGUCUAUUCUUGCAUACUAAUUUAAAUAUUAGUGGAAGUCACAGAUACUCAGAUGAGGGUUAUCUGUGAUACAAGCCCAAUGAGAACUUCAAAAUAGAUGCACAGUCUACCUAAAGUUGUCAACAAAACUGCUAGUGGAAAGAUAUAAAUCUUUCCAAUUUUUGUCCUCUAAAGGUGCAUGGCAUGAGCAAGUAACACCCAAUUGCAAACACAACUAAAUACUGAUAUAUAAAAUGAUAAGUGUGUAAUUUCUAAAUUAUUUGUGAUAUUUCUCACCUUGAAUUAUGCUAUUUAUGUUCUUAAUUAUAUUUAUAUGUUGUUUGUUUGAUUUAGGGAAUAACUAGAGAAAAAGGAGCUUAAAGUUCAUUUUUGACAAGCUUUUUGAGGUUUGGACUUUUAACCCAGUGCAGUUUCAGUAUUUUGGCCAUAACUUCAGCUAACUUCAGCUACAAGCCUCAGUUUUGGGCCCAUAACAUACCGAUUCAGAGGGAAUUGAAAGGUUUAUCUGAAGUGAUUUCAUGGCUAAAGCCCAAAAACGUCAGAAAGAUGUCCAAAAAUGGCCUGAAAGUUUGACGCAAAAAUAGUCAAGAAACCUAAAAAGUUUCUGUUCAAUUUAAUUAAGGGCACUUUUUUAUUUUCUCCAUUAAGUUAUUUUUGCCUUAUAAAUAGACAUCAUUAGGUUAAGACUAGGGGAGACUUAGACCUAGGCGAUCUUAGUUUUAUUUUGUUUUCUUUAAACCGAAAAAACUUGUCAAAAAUAAACUUCAAGCUCCUUUUUCUCCAAUUAUUUCCUGAAUCAAUAAUAAACAAAAUAUAAAUAUAAAUAAUAUAAUUGAGAACAUAAAUACAAUAAUUAGAGGCAAGAAAUAUCACAAAUAAUUUAGAAAUCACGCACUUAUCAUAAAACAAGCACAGCAGCUAGCUUUAGUUUUACUCAUAUAAAGAAAUAAUGUGAAGAAACAAAAGUAACAAGAAGAGGCAAAACAAAAUCCUUUUAAAGUCAGAGCUCAAAGAAUCUAACAGUACAGCCCUAGAAUUAGCAAUUAAAUGUAUUCACUUAAGACUGUAAAAACAUGACCAUAUUUCUCAAGUGGAUGACAAACCAUCAGAAAUUACCAUAAUGUUUGAAGCAUGACUUAGGUAAUCACUAACACCAUCUUGCCAAAGCUCAUCAGGGUGAUUCUUCAGUUGUGACUGCACCCAACUGCUAACAUAAAAUGUUGUUAUGGACAAUAAAUAAAAUCUUUAAGUUCGCUAAGGUCCAGAGACAAAGAAGCAAGAAGCUUGGCUAUACUAGGGACUGACAAAAACAUUAAAUGCAUCAAACAUGUUUUAUAAGUAGCAAAAGAUCAAAUCAUUUAGUCUUAAACAAGCAUAUAUAGCAUAAGCACGUUGUAGAAACAUCACAGACAGGACCUUGCAAAUUGGAUGUUGAGAGCUUUCACAUGCCGCCGAGACAACUCAGCUCGCUGUGGGUCUAAUGGUGGUGUUGCAUUCGGCUGCUGUUGAGAUGGUUCUGCCCUUUGAGGAUCAAAAGGAGAUCCUGCCAUUAUUCUUUUGUUGCGGAACUGCAGACCACGAUUGAUGAAUUCAACAACGUGAUUGAUAAAUCGAAACAUCAAAUGAUAAAAACUGACUCUUAGGUAGUUAUACAAAAUAGUCAUAAUUACUCCUCCCCCUCCUUUCAACAAUGCAAGCACACUCUAAUCUUUGGAAAUUAGUUUGCUCUAGUCAUUAACAAGUUUGUUCUCUCGGUUUUUCAAAACAUUAACAAUGAUAGCCAUGAUCAAACACUUUCAUCUUCCAUCAAUUCCAAGUCCAUUCUUCAAAACCCAAUAAACCCACAUCAGAUAUUCAAAAAAGAAAACCUUCGACCUUCCUAAGAUACUUGUCAGCUAACUGAAACUAAAAAAACAAGCAAAAGAUUCGAAUUUUAACAGUCUUUUCCAUUAAUUCAAAGCUCAUUAACUUCCUUAUUUACAAGUCAAUUAAACCCACAAAAACUUACUAACAAAUCACUACAGAAAUGUCCUCUUUCUUUACUUUAGCAUUUAGAAACAGAAAAUAAAUAAAUUAGGUUUAUACUAUCAAUUUGAGGGAAUGAAACUAUGAAGCAACACCAUUUAAAAAAAAAACUAAAAAUAUGUAAAAUUUCAGAAAACUCACAGCAGAAUCAUUGGCAUCGGCAGCCGAGCUCGAUAAGGCAAAUCUUUUCGUACCGUUCAUGGUGAGAUUGAGCGGUUCAAUUGAGGUUUAAGGGGAAAAAAAAGGGAUAUUUAGGGUUCAAAAAGGAAAUUAUUUUUUUUGGGGGUAUGGCUUUUGUUUCAGGCUAAAAGGAAGUGGAGAGGAACUUGCAAUAAUUUUUUGGGGUUUAAUUAUGGAAAACUUUUGAAAUUGAGAAAGGGUUGAUUAUAACCGUCCGAUCGAGUGGGGAAAAUAGACUUUUAAUUGAAACCGUUAGAUUGGUUUUCCAAAGCUAUCGUCGGCCACGUGCUUGUUUUACUUCAUGAUUGGGCCCACCAUCAUAGGCUCAGGCCUGAAUUUUGUCAGAACUUGCAUGUGGUCCACUUUCGUACAUAAAUUUUAAUGUAAAAGAACGUCGUCGUUUCUCUCGGAGAACAACUGCCGCUGAAUAAAGGCCGGGCCGGGCGGAAUUUAGGUUGUACCUAUGCAUAAUAUUAAUAUCGUAUAUAAUUAUAUAAACCUAAUUUCACCUCAAAUAUAUGGAAGUCUAUUUAUAUAUUUAAAUGAGUAAUUUAAAUUCAUUUAAAUUCUCCCAUAUUUAUUUUUAAAAAUAUAAUUUUUAUUUAAUAUUUAAUUAUAUAUUUUUAUUAAAAUUUUAAACAUAAACAAUAUGUUUUUUAAUAUUUAUAUUAUAAUAUAGUUAAUUUAAUUAAAUAUUAUAUAAUUUAGAUAAUAUAUAUAAAAGAAAAUUUAUUAAAUUAUAAAAUUGAAAAGAGUUAUGCUUAAGCUUUAAAUUAUAUUUUAAGUGAGUUUAAUUUUUGGUCAAAGCUUAUUUUCUGAACUUAAUAUUUUUUUGCUCAAAUUUUCUUAAAUUUUGAGUGAAUUUUCAAACUUAAACAGAUAACUUAAUUCUUAAAUCGACUUGAACAGGCUUAACAUAGUUUCACUGGUUUAAUGCACCUCAUUUUGUGUAUUUUUAAGUGAUUUUAUGUGAUUGCCUUUCAUUAUCUAAGAUAUGCAAUCAAAAUACUUCAUCCUAUUCUAUAGUAGAGAAUGUUUACUGUUGGGACAGAGUGAUAAGGCAUUAAGGGUCCUUUAGAUGUGAACGUGAUGCAUUUAGCUUUUAUUUUAUUUUACACUAUAAUAUUAUUAUAGCAUUUAAUUUUAUUAUUAUUGGUAUUAUUAUAUUAACUAUAGAUAAAUGCACUGUCAAUAUUGUGAUGGGCAAAAAUUCAACCCGCAGAGUUCCAGAGUACAACUAUUGAGGAUGAUGUCUCUGCUUUUUAGUAGAUAGCAAUAGAAAACAGUGGAACCCCUUUUUAACUGAAGGGACUGUCCUGAAAUUAGUAAAUAUUUUUCUUCACAGUGGGGAGGCCAUUGUCGCAACUGGCACUGUUACUUAUGGAGUAUAGGCAUCUAACAUUUUCAGAUUUCCACCCCCGCAUAAAAGAUAGUUUGUAACAAAAAUAAAGGCUUAAGUCUUUAAUGAACGUUUAAGACCUAUUCCCAACCCAUCUAUAUUAAGUUAAUGGUUAUGAAUGCAAUAAUAGUCUUUUAGGAGUUUAAUUAAAUUAAGUUAAAAUCGGUAUAAUAUUAAUAUAAUAUAUAUUAUUGUCAACGUGAAUUAGAUGUUCAAUACAUGUAUACUUUUUGUAUAAACAAUUUGAAUUUAAGUUUAAAAAAAUCAUCCUAAAUUUUAAUGAUGUUGGCUUUUAACUCGUUUGAUAUAACUUGUUCAUGUAGUAAAUAUAAAUAUAUUUAAAAUUUAAUCCAUGUGUCCUAAAUAUACUCUUGUUAAGUCCAAAUUUUAGAGCUUUUUAUUUAGUUCUCGAAGUAUCAAUAUUCAAUAUCAUAUCGAUAAGGUUUUUAUUGGUCUAACUAUCAACCUAUACGUUAAAUAUUAGUAUAGUAUGAAAUUUAGUAUAUUUAAAAUUCGUAGAUUAAAUUUUAAAUACAUAUAUACCAAUCAUAUUAGACAGUUAAUUGUUAAUUUUUAAAAUAUAUAUGAUCCAAUGAAUGUGAUUCAAUUUGGGUUAUAAGGUUGAUUUAAUUAAAGUUAAUUGUUAAUAUUAUUAGCUAAUUAUGUAUUUUUAUCAAAUCAACUCUAAAAUACGAAUUAAAUAUUAAAAAAUUAAUAUUGUUACCUUUUGAGAAGAAAAUAUAUAACUUCUAUCAACUAUAAGUACCAAAUUGAACUAAAAAAUAACACAAGUAUCACACUAUGUAAAAUUUUGUAAAACUUGGUAACAAUAACAAAAUUAAUUUUGAAACGUGGAGUGUAAUUAAUCUAUUAAUUAAGUCGGUUCAAGAGAUUUAAUAACACUAAUUUUUUUUGGUAACAAUAAUAACAUUAAAUUUAAUAUCAUCUUCACUUCCAAUUUACUCCCUUCUUGCAUUAUAAAUUAGUAAGUUUGAAUUAUCCCAUUAUCAUCAACAUCAUACUUUUUCACCAUCAUCACCAUGAAUAAAAACACCAUAAACUCCAUUUCCAUGCUUAUUUUAUUACUGUACGGGAACACCAUGUGUGAAUCAAAAUGCAAGAAACCCGAAGAGCUACCAUUGCAUGAAAUUUACGUAACCAAUUACGUGUCCCAUGAAGAAACGAUUAGAUGCUUUCGUUACGACCUAACCGACAAUUACCUAGGAACCAGGUUAUUAAAACCUCGUCAAGAAACCAGGUUUUGUUUCAGGUACGGUUUAACCCCCGACACUAUAUACUACUGUAGCACGACCAAUGGUUCAUUUGUUGCCUACAAAAACAGCUAUGAUUGUGUACAAAACAAGGUUAAUCUUUGUGAAUGGAGGAUUUAUGAAACGUAUGCCGAGGUUUAUUCAUUGAAUCAACAUAGAUGGAUUCGGUUCGAUUAUGAACAAGUUAAGGAUCCAGGGUGUUAUAAGGAUGCGUGUUUAAGGUUUCCACGUGGAUAUCCUUACCAUAAAGCUUCAUGUGAUAAUGAAAGUUCUCAACCUAGUGCGUUUCAUUAGUUUAAUGUUGUCUUUGUAUGAUCUUUGUUCGAGUUUUGAAAUAAUGGGUUGAUUUUAUAAGUAUUCAAUGUCUAUUUUUCUUUGGAUAAAUUUACCCUCAAGGUAAUUAAACUAUUAGUAAGUUUACAUUUUGGUCACUAAACUUUAAAAAGAAAACAAAUGAUCACUGAGUACUAUUCGAAAGUUUUCAUUUAAGUCACUGACCUGUUAAAAUUGAUGUUUAAUGGCCUUCUUUGUUUGCACCUCCUGCAGUACAAAUUAAAAGUUUUCCUUUCUCUUCUAUUCUACAUUUCAAUUUUUUUUUUAUAAAACAACUUUGAGCAUCAUAAAUUUACGAACCAAAACUCAAAUAAAUUUCUUCUUUGAUCUUCAAUACUAAUCGUUAUAUCGACUUGCAUCUAAGGUAUGUUUUUCUAUUCAUUGAUGGGUACCAGUUGUUAAAUGUCACUUGGAGCUUGUUAACCAAACUUAAAAAACAAGAAAAGAAAAAAAAACCUUAAUAGUCUAGUGACUUAAAUAAAAACUUUUGAAUAAUUCAAUGACUUAAAUGAAAAUUUUUGAAUAGUUCAUUGACCAAUUUGUAUCUUUUUGAAAUUGAGUGACCAAAACAAAUAUGUAAAAUUAGUUCUUCUAAUUUAUAAAUGAGCAAUUUAAUCCUUAUUCAUUUAAUUUUAAAACAAAUAUGUAAAAUUAUAAAUAAGGCUCAAUGCACACUUUAGUACCUAAAGUAUAUCAUUUUUCUCACUUUAGUCCUUAAAGAUUUUUGGCCCACUCUAAUCCCUAAAGUUAUCAAAUGUUCGCACUAUUUAAUGUUAAAGCUUACCACUAUUUAAAGUUUUAUUCCUUUCAAUUUUUUUUAGCCUUAAAUUGGAAGGAAAAUACACUUAAGCGUACUCGAACUCAUGCCCUUCUUGUUGCUGCCAUAGCAAUAGUACCAACUAAGCUUCAAUCAACCCAUUUACUUCAAAAUUAAAUAUAUAGGAAUUUGUAUAAAAAAAUUGUAUAGGACUUAAGUUGCGUACUUCUAUAAUAAAGAGACUAAUUUAUGCUUCAAAUUAUUGUAUAAGGACCCAUCCGAUAAUUUAACCAUUAAUAAUUGAAUACCAACAAAAGAAUGACUAUUGGAAAAAAGAACCUUUUUUUUUUUUUUAACGUGUGGUUGACAUUGAAAACCAGAUAGCCUAAAAUUUCUCGAAGUACAUGCCCUUAACUAGUUGACUUAAACUUCAACAUCCUAUUACAAAACAAUAUAUCUACAUCUAUAUAUGUAUUAUUUAUCCUUACUAUAUCUAUAUUAAUAUAUAUGAAUCUAAAGAUGAUAAUUGUUGGAAGAUGCAUGUAACGGUCUGCGAGGCAUGCCACUUUGAUCUUUUAAAAAAUUACUAGUUAAAGCCAGCACUCAGGUGAAAAAUUUAAUACAAUUUCCAUAAAUAUUUAAUCCUUUUCUGUAUCCCCUAUAAAAAUGAGAAAAGAAAAAAAAAUCAAAGAGAUAGAGAGAUAAAAACAAGGAAUCAAAGGAACCAUGGAUGCUUUCUAUCAUCAUUCAAUGCUUUACCAAACUCACCACCUUCCUUUCUUCUUCAAAUUUCCUCCUCUAGCUUCUACCACCCCUUUGCUAUUAUCCUCUUCCCUUCAGGUAUUGAUCAGUUUUGUAAAAAAAUACCUUACUGAAAAAAAAACCAGUAACUCCACAAGGAAACAUCGAUAUCACUAUCAUCAUCAUCAUCCGGAUUAGUACUCCUAGGUGGAGAAAGUAAAAGUCCUUCAGCCAUGCUAGCAAGCAAGUUCGGCAUGUCGAACAUUGCUUCUUCAUCCACAAAGUUAACCUCGACGCCACUCGAAGAAGCCUCCACACUUCCCUGCCUUGUGCCACCGCCCCCCAACUGUUCCUCCGAUUCUUUAGGCCUAAACGCUUCGGCCGCCUCCACAGCUGCUCGUCUAAUGUCGAUAGCAUCCAUUGAAGCCGGCAAAGGCAACUUCCAAACUGAAUCAGCAAAAUUAAGGCAAGCACUUUUACCUCUAAACGCUAAUGCAGCAACAUCAUGUGCUCGUGCAGCCAUUUCAGGUGUAGGAUAAGUACCGAGCCAAAUGCGAGUUUUUUUAUUAGGCUCACGUAACUCACAUACCCAUUUGUUCUUUUUCCUUUGUCGUACACCUCUAAAAAUAGGAUGACGAGUCUCUUUGAAUAUUCUCCUCCCUGCACGUUUCUUUGGCUUACUCGUUGCUAAUGAAUAAACUUCUUCGGAUGACGAUGACGGUGUCUCCGCCGUUUCAGCCGCCAUAAAGUAAAAGACUUUUGUGUUGGGCUUUUUAAGCUGCAAAAAAAAAAACCUAUGGAGUUGGAUUUGGAACUCAAAGAGGGAACGAUAGUGAAACUUUAUUGUGUGGGUUUUUAAGGAAUGGCUGACGCCUGGCAGCCUUGCGGUUUUCACACGGACGCCCAUACGAAGAAAGAGGGAACAAUGUAUGGUCCACGGUUUCCACAUAGGGAGGUUUAAGCUAAGAAAUAGGUUGACAAAGAAAACUAGGAAAGUCCAAGCGCAAACCAAAUCACUUUCAAAAUACCCAAGUCCAGGUUCUAGGCGUUGGGUAUUUAACGAGUUUUUGACUUUCAGCAAACUAUCAAAAUUGUCAUUUUUAUUUAUUUUAUGUUAUAUUUUAGUUAUUUAUAUUUAAAAUAUUACGUUUUAGUCACUUGUGUUAUCAUAUUGUAAUAUUUUAGUCACUGAACCAUUAAUUUUAGUUAACAAUGUAAUGGCAAGGUGAUGUGAUACGAUAAAUCUAUCAUUUUAAAUGAAAAUUUUAGGUUAAAUUCUACAAUUGGCCCCUCUAUUUUUUCAUUUUGAGCAAUUUAAUUUUUUCUUUUACGUUUUUUAACUUCAUUUUUUUCCCUUUAUUUUUCAUUUUUUUUUGCUUCUCCCUUUAUUUUUCUCUCUUCUCUAUUUCUUUUAACAUAAUUUUUCUAUGUUUUCCAUUUGUUAAAGCUAGUCCCUAUACUUUUAUUUUGGUAUUGGCCAUUUUCUAUACGUUCUGUUUAAUCUUCCUUUUGAUUUGUUUUUAAUAUGUUUUCAGCUUAGAGCAACAAGUUUGUAUUGAUCUUCAAUGAAAACCCAAAAUAAAUAUAUUAUUUUAUUUAAUUUUCUUUUUUGCUUCUUAUAGACAAUUGUGAAAUGGGGUUUAUGAUAUCUUAUAGUCAUUGCUGAAACCAUACAAAGGGCCCAAAAAUAAAUUAUUGUGGUGAUUUUAUAGAAUUUCUUGGACAUGAUAUUUCAAUGAAGAUUCUCAUGAAUUUGGUUAACUCUUCUAAUCUCAUUAUGGUUAGCUUAGUUUCUAGUUCUUGGCAUUAAUUUGGUAAGCAAAUUAAUAUUUUUGGUAGAAUAUUUUAGCUUGGUGUUCUACUAUAUACCAAAGAAGAACCGAUAUUGAUUAAUUCAAUAGGAUCAAUUUUAUUCAUCUUGCAAUGACCAAAAACGGUUUAUGGGUUUACACAUAGAAUAUGUAACUAAAUAUGUUUGGCUUUAAUAAAUAAAGAAAUAAAACGAAAAAAAUUAAAUUGUUCAAAAAAAAAUAUAGGGACUAGUUUUAACAAACGAAAAACAUAGAAAAACGACAUUAAAAGAAAUGGAGGAGGGAGGAAAAUAGAGAGAGAAGCAGAUAAGAAUGAAAAUAAAGAAAAUAAAGUUAAAAGAAAAUAAAAAAAUAAGAAUUAAAUUGCUCAAAACAAAAAAAAGGGAUCAAUUGUAUAAUUUAAUCUAAAAUGUUCAUUUGAAAUGAUGAUUUAACGUGCCACGUCAGAUUACCAUUACAUUGCUAAUGACAAUUAACAGCUCAGUAACUAAAAUGUUAUAACAUGAAUAACAUAAAUGACUAAAAUAUAAUAUUUUAAGCAUAAAUAAUUAAAAUGUAAUUUUGGUCGAAUUAAAGUGACUAAUUUAAUAGUUUAUCCUUAUUUUAAUUUGUAAUCUCAGUACGACGAAAGGUGCUUACAGCAACGCGCUUGAUUGGGGAAGGAAAUUAUGUGGACUAAGAAAACCACCUGUGAACUGUCCGUACCAUGCAAAUUUUAGAAUGGAUUGGUUUGGUUUUAUUUUAAAAUUUUAUUUAUUUUUUUUGAAUUUAGGUUUAGGGAUAUUCGGAGUAAAAUUAUUGCGGAAGAUUUUGUGUUAAGAAUUAAUUUUUUUAUUAAAGAUGGGAUAAAUUAGUUUUUAUACGUUAAAUUAAGGAAUAAAUUUAUCUCUUUUGUUAAAAUAUUUAUUCUUUUAUAUGAUUAAAAAUUGGUAUGUUGGAUAAAAUAAUUAGAUAGUUAUAAGUGAUAUGUCACAUAUACCUCAUUUUAAGGUAUGUGGACAAGAUUUUAACAACAAAAAUGGACAAAAAAUUUAACUAAUUGAUUGGUUUGCUUUUUUAUCUCACAUAUAGGAAUUGAUUUGCCUAUUUUUUAAGUAGAGGAGACAAAAUGUAAUCUAACCCCUAAUACAUUGACCUCCAUAGUGCUUUUACCAGUUUAAGUCAUGUUCAAUUUAGAUUAAUUUUGAGUCUAGAUUCAAGUCAUUUGGGUUCGUCUAUCCAAUUUUGAUAAUUAGUUCUUCUUGAAUUAUUUGAUUGAAUCAUUUUAAGUUUCGAUCAAUUUAAAUUUAGGUCAUUUUGGGUUUAAUGUGCAUAUCUAACUAAUACUAAGAGUGAGUUUGGAUGGACGAUUAGCUUACUUUUUGUCUCACGCUACAGUAUCAGUACAAUAUCUAAUCUCACCGCCAUUACUAUUUUUACACUAAACGCAUCGCCUAUCCAAACUUACUCUAAAUCACACUUUGAAAUUUCGUGUUUUAGAAAACUAGUUUCUUAUAUCACUUUCGCAUAUUUAUGUGAUUAAUUAUUUUUAAUAAUAGAUUAUAUUCUUAUUUUAUUUAACUAAUGGAAAUAGUUAUUAUUAAGAAAACACUUGAUCAUUUUUAAUCUCAUGUAAAGUAAAACAACUGAAGUAUUUUAUAAUAAAAUAUCACGUACUUAUAUAUAGAUUUUAUUAGUUUAAAUUAUAAUGAAAAUAUACUUAAGUUUAAUCUAGUAACUUAUUUACUUUAGUUAUUCAAAUAUUUUAUUUAAUUUGAGUGUAAUAAUAAGAUAUAUUACACUCUUAAAUAAAGAAUAUAAAUUUAAAAUAUUAUAAAUAUUUUAAAAUAUUUCAACCGUAAACUUGAAUAUAAAUAUAAAUGUUGGUUUUUGGAUACAAACAAUUGAAAUGCGUUGUAUAGUGUAAACAUAAAAUUUCAUUUUCACCAUAUUACGCAACCUUAUGGUCUUAAUCAUAAUUAUUUAUUUUUUAUCUUUUCAUCUCGAUCCUCGUGUAUCAGGUGAGGCCUCAUGGUACGCUUCAACUGACAUAAUCAUGCAUGCAUUGUAUUUAGGUUCUUUUUUCCUUUUCAAGACAAAUCCUAAAACAGUACGGGAACCGACUCAAAAACAUGAGAUUCUAUAUUUAUUUCAUACUUUUAUUUUUUACUUAAAUUUUGAUUAUAUAUCGAUUGAGCUAUAGUUCGGUUGGCAUUAAUAUUAUGAUUAGUAUAAGAGAAUGUAAGUUCGAAUAUAUUGAAGUAUGUUAUAUUCCUAUUUAAGAAUUGAUGUGAAACUACAAAUAAUUCUAAACAUUGUAUCAAAAAGAUCAUAUUAUUAAGAAUUUAUAAUCAAAUCAUAUAUUGGGUUUAUUAUUCGUGCACAACGUUUUCCUAAUGAUUUGUUUUGAAAAUAAUCUAAUUUUCUAUUUUGAACGAGGAAAAAUGAAAGUUGACAUUAAAUUGUUUGAUAAGGAAAACUUUUUGAUGUUAUUUCUAUUUAUAUGAUUACAGACUGGAAUUUAUAUUAUACUGUCAAAUAUUUUGACUUUACAAACCUGUUGAAAUCUCAAGCUGGGAAUAUCAUUUUGUGUAAAUUUAUAUUACAUAGUGUAAAGAUGAAAAUAGCUUUUCACACUUCCGUAAUUAUUUAUAUAAUUAAUAUUUUAAUGAUUUAAUUGUUAAACUUAUCAAUAUAAUUAUAUUUGUUUUAUAUGUAAAAUUUCGAAUGAAUCUAAUAUCUCUAUUAUAUCGAUUUAAAAUACUCUAUUUAUUAAUAUAUAUUCAACGGUUAAAUUUUUUACAUAAAACAAAUAGUUAGAAGUUUUAAAUUUACAUCAAAUUUGAUGUGCAUGAUCUAUAAAAAUAGACCAUAAAAUAUAAUGGCAUGAUCGUUGUCAAAACCAUUUUUUUGUUUAUUUUGGAAAAAACGGGUAUCGACUUUUAAACGAGGUGCGGAGUCGCCACCAAUCCUUUUUUUGUAUAGGUGUGAUCAGAUCACCUAAUAAAACAUUUUAUUGUAUAAAAAAAUCAAUUUUGGCCUACGAAAUUUGAGAAAACGGGUUUGGGAGUCACUUACGUACAAAGAAGUAGCUCAAAACGCAUUAAUUUGACUUGAAAUAAAAUGGAAUAAUUAAUUUAGGAUUAAUAAGUUGAAAAUUUCAAUUGUAAUAUGAUCGUGAAUGAGAGGUGAAAUUAUAAGCAUGUGACAACAUACAUGAAUAAUGUACUAUAGUUCACGAAGGAUAAUAGCAUACACAUAAAAACGAAUUAAUAAAUACACCAAAACAUAUCAAAGAAACAUAUCAAAACAACUACAGUAAGCUUUCGAACAUAAAAUAAUAAAAUUAAGAAAGUAACACCAAAAACUAAUUAACAACAUGAAAUAAUAACAUAUAAAACAAUAUGAAAUCUAUAGAACACACAUGAUAUACAAAACAGUAUAGACAUUAGGAACUAAUACGAUGCGAAACAAUAAAAAAAAUUAUAUAUAGAAAAUUAUAAGUGAAUAACACAUGCAAAAUUUGAAAUAAUUUAUAUAUAUAAAAAACUAAGUAUAUACAUAACUUGUUAUUAAAACAGAUAUUAUAAAAGAGGAAAUUUGAGUCAAAUAAUGUAUAAAAUAUUUUUAAAAUGAAAUAUCUAUUUAAAGUUGACCAUAUACAUAUAAUAAAAAAAAUUUAAAGAACAUAUAAAAUAUGAAAGGUUUUAAAUAACAAAAAAAGUAUGAUAAAAUAUAUUUUAUAUACAUAAGGUUUUAAUAUAUAUAUAUAAAUAGGUUGAAAAGAAAUUAUGUAUGUAAAGUAACAUAGAAUUAAUAAUAUAUAUAGAAUAAAAAACUAAUUUUAUCAUGAACUAUAUAUGUAUAACAGUAUACAAGGCAUUUGAAUGAAAUUUUAUACAAAAUCUUUAAAACCAUACGAUAUAAAAAGUUUUAAAAUAAAGAUUUUAUAUAAAAAAAGGGGUAAAAUCAUCAUGAUAACUCAAAAAAGUACAUAUAUACAUGUAUAAAGAAUAAGUAUUAAGUGAAUAUAAAAAAAUAAUGAAUUAUACUACUCAAAAGGACUCAAUUAAAACAGAAUUAAACUAAAAGGAUAUUUAGUAAAUAAAAUAAACUGCUGAGAUUAAAAGAAGGACUAAAGCGCAAUGCGCUCCAAUGCUCAGGGAUCAAACUGGAAAUAUACCAACUCCCAAAGCAUUGCUUUUAGGCGCGGGUUAAAUUGCAAUAACGCGCAAAUCUCAGUGGAAAAUUAAAAAAACAAAGAAAAUGCACAGAGGGUCCAAUCAGAUACCAGCGCGAAAGAGAGGGAUCAAACGCGAAUUAGCCCUUAAAGACCAAAACACGCGGAUCCCCAUGGGCAUCGGGUCAGGUCGCACGGGCAAGGCCUAUACGGCACCGUUUUGGAGCCACUGGAAUAGGCCCUAAACGGUGCCGUUUUAUGCUCUACACAAAACCAGGUUAAGAAACCCUAAAACCCUUCAUUUAGCCACUUAAAAAAUGUCAAAAAAAAAAAAAAAACAAAAGCGUCUUCCCCUAUUCAUUCGGCCGAACCAAAAAAUGCAGCCCUAGCCUCUCCGUUUCAUCUCCUUCAGCCGAAUGAGAUGGUCCUUCGCCCAUUUGCCAUUUCGCCUCCAUAUUUCAGUGGAUCGCAUCAUAUGAAAAGCACGAUCUGCCUUAUUCGAAGACGAACUCGAAGGUUUCACUGCUCUUAAGCCACGGAAUCCUCACUUAAACUUCGAUUGCUACGAAGCAAGCAAGGAUCCGAAAGUGGCAAUACCAAGAUAAGUCCCUUUCUUUUUUAUUAUUCUUUUUUAUACUGUAAAUAAAAAUCAAGAAGAAAAAAGAAAUGAAAUCGAAAGAAAUGCUCGGUCUAAGAAUCACAUUUUCCUGUUUGUUUUCUAUUUGAUUGUUUUGUAUGCGUAAAAAAAAAUACAUUCAUGCUGUUUUGGGCUUUAUAGUCGAUGGAAAGGUAAAAGAAAAGAAAAGAAAUACAAGUUUUUCUAUUCUCUUUUUCUAUUUGCUGUUGUUCUCUUGUCUGUUUGCAGGUACGUGGUGAGCGUGGCGCGCGUACAGAGGCUGUGCACUGGCGUACGGAGGCGCUAUGGAGGCUGUACGUGGGGGAGCGGCAUGAGGCAGAUAGGGGCUAGGGUUUUGGCUAAAUUUGUUUUAGUUUUUGGGCCGUUUGGGCCUUAUGGUUAGUUUUGUUUCCGGCUUGUUUUAUUUGGCAGAUUUGGGCUAGUGUAACAAAGGGACUUGGACUAUAAAAAAAUUUGAUUUCAUUAUUAUCUAGUUUAUGUUUGUACGGGCUCCGGACAGAUUUGGGCCUAUAUAAUCGUUAAAAUAUUAAUCAUAUAAAUAUUUAUGGAAGUAUGUAAAACUACUUUAAUUUUUACAAUUUGUAAGUGGAUCCAUAUAUAUAUAUAAGUAAGCUUUCAGUUUAUAUUUUCUUUUUCUUUCAGUUUAUAUAUAUGUAAGUGGUUUAAAUCAAGUGAUAGGGAUGUCAAAUUUUAAACUGUCCGAUAGGUUUCAAACAGAUAUAUUUCAAAUGGAGUAAUUUUUUUUUCUUUUGAAAAGUACAUUUGGGGUAGGGUGAAG